GACGAACGCUGGCGGCGUGCCUAAUACAUGCAAGUCGAACGCACAGUUUAUACCGUAGCUUGCUACACCAUAGACUGUGAGUUGCGAACGGGUGAGUAACGCGUAGGUAACCUGCCUGGUAGCGGGGGAUAACUAUUGGAAACGCUAGCUAAUACCGCAGAAUAUUAAUUAUUGUAGGAUAAUUAAUUGAAAGGUGCAAUUGCACCACUACCAGAUGUGCCUGCGUUGUAUUAGCUAGUAGGUGAGGUAACGGCUCACCUAGGCGAGGAGACAUAGCCGCACGGAGUGGGUGGGCGGCCACCCUGAGACGGAGACACGGCCCAGAGGGCUACAGGAGGCGGCAGGAGGGAAUCGUGGGGAAUGGACGAGAGUCAGACCGAGAAGCGCGGAGGGAGGGAAGAAGGUUGUCGGGUCGGGAAGCACGGUUGUAAGGGAAGAACGGGUGUGAGAGUGGAAAGUUCACAAUGUGACGGUACCUUACCAGAAAGCGACGGCUAACUACGUG
rnacentral:rRNA from 1 species